rnacentral:rRNA from 1 species
UGGGGAUCUGCCUGAUCGAGGGGGAUAACUACUGGAAACGGUAGCUAAUACCGCAUAACGUCGCAAGACCAAAGAGGGGGACCUUCGGGCCUCUUGCCAUCAGAUGAACCCAGAUGGGAUUAGCUAGUAGGUGGGGUAACGGCUCACCUAGGCGACGAUCCCUAGCUGGUCUGAGAGGAUGACCAGCCACACUGGAACUGAGACACGGUCCAGACUCCUACGGGAGGCAGCAGUGGGGAAUAUUGCACAAUGGGGGCAAGCCUGAUGCAGCCAUGCCGCGUGUAUGAAGAAGGCCUUCGGGUUGUAAAGUACUUUCAGUAGGGAGGAAGGCGAUCCGGUUAAUAACCGGGUCGAUUGACGUUACCCGCAGAAGAAGCACCGGCUAACUCCGUGCCAGCAGCCGCGGUAAUACGGAGGGUGCAAGCGUUAAUCGGAAUUACUGGGCGUAAAGCGCACGCAGGCGGUCUGUCAAGUCGGAUGUGAAAUCCCCGGGCUCAACCUGGGAACUGCAUCCGAAACUGGCAGGCUAGAGUCUUGUAGAGGGGGGUAGAAUUCCAGGUGUAGCGGUGAAAUGCGUAGAGAUCUGGAGGAAUACCGGUGGCGAAGGCGGCCCCC